rnacentral:lncRNA from 1 species
CCACCAUCAUCAUCCUUCCCGGAUUCUUCCUCUCCCUCCCUCGCUUUCUCUCUCUCUCCCUCUCUUACGGUUGUUUGCUUUCCCUAGGACUGCCACCAUCAUCAUCGCUCCGCCUCCACCACCACCACCUUCCCUCUUUGAAGUCUAUCGGGCUGCAAUCUCUCCCUCUCUCUCAAGAUCUCUCAGGUAUGGCCCCUCUCUCUCUAUGGCUCUCUCUCUCUCACAAUCCAUCCUAUAGGUUGUCGCUGUCACUGUCGCUGCACUGCCAUCGCCGUCGCUACAUAGCCACCGCCAUUCGCACCCAUCUCGAUACCCCUCUCUCUCUCCCUCUCUCUAUGGGAUUUAUGGGGGGAGUCAAAAGAUUAGGGCAUGGUUUAUUUUAAAUUUUAUGAUUGUUAAGUGGCUACACAAAUCUAAAGUAAUAACUUUGGCAGUUCGCAGUGUUUUAAAUUUUGUUCUCCUUUUUUUAAUUGAUUUGAGUCGUUAGGCAUAAUUACGAUUAUUUGUUGCUACUCCUUAUAUGAAGUAUAGUUUGAGAUCUAAAAAUAAUUUAAAAAUAAAAGUAGAUAUAAUAAUA